rnacentral:rRNA from 1 species
CAGUAGCCGCGGUAAUACGUAGGGGGCAAGCGUUAUCCGGAUCCAUUGGGCGUAAAGCGCUCGUAGGCGGUCUGUUAGGUCGGGAGUUAAAUCCGGAGGCUCAACCUCCGCCCGCUCCCGAUACCGGCAGACUUGAGUUUGGUAGGGGAAGGUGGAAUUCCUAGUGUAGCGGUGGAAUGCGCAGAUGUUAGGAAGAACACCAGUGGCGAAGGCGGCCUUCUGGGCCAUAACUGACGCUGAGGAGCGAAAGCUAGGGGAGCAAACAGGAUUAGAUACCCCGGUAGUCCCUGUCUCUUAUACA